GAUGAACGCUGGCGGCGUGCCUAAUACAUGCAAGUCGAGCGAACAGACGAGGAGCUUGCUCCUCUGACGUUAGCGGCGGACGGGUGAGUAACACGUGGAUAACCUACCUAUAAGACUGGGAUAACUUCGGGAAACCGGAGCUAAUACCGGAUAAUAUAUUGAACCGCAUGGUUCAAUAGUGAAAGACGGUUUUGCUGUCACUUAUAGAUGGAUCCGCGCCGCAUUAGCUAGUUGGUAAGGUAACGGCUUACCAAGGCAACGAUGCGUAGCCGACCUGAGAGGGGGACCGCCCACACGGAAACAGAACCCGGGCCCGAACUCCUCGGGGAGGCGCCAUGGGGGAUUCUUCCGCAAGGGGGAAAGGCCGGACGGACCAACCCGGCGGGAGUAAGAAAGGUCUUCGGAUCGAAAACCUUUUUUAUUGGGAAAAAAAAAAUUUGAAAGAAACUAUGCCCUUCUGGACGUUACUUAAUCAAAAAGCCCCGGCUAACUACGUG
rnacentral:rRNA from 1 species